UACGUAGGUGACCAGCGUUGUCCGGAUUUACUGGGCGUAAAGAGCGCGCAGGCGGUCGUUCAAGUCGAGUGUGAAAGCCCCCGGCUCAACUGGGGAGGGUCACUCGAUACUGAUCGACUUGAAGGCAGGAGAGGGAAGCGGAAUUCCCGGUGUAGUGGUGAAAUGCGUAGAUAUUGGGAGGAACACCAGUGGCGAAGGCGGCUACCUGGACCGGUUCUGACGCUGAUGCGCGAAAGCGUGGGUAGCAAACAGG
rnacentral:rRNA from 1 species